AUUGAACGCUGGCGGCAUGCCUUACACAUGCAAGUCGAACGGUAACAGGUCUUCGGAUGCUGACGAGUGGCGAACGGGUGAGUAAUACAUCGGAACGUGCCCGAUCGUGGGGGAUAACGACGCGAAAGCUUUGCUAAUACCGCAUACGAUCUACGGACGAAAGCAGGGGACCGCAAGGCCUUGCGCCAACGGGGCGGACGAUGGCAGAUUAGGAAGUUGGUGGAUAAAAGCUUACCAAGCCGACGAUCUGUAGCUGGUCUGUGAGGACGACCAGACAAACUGGGACUGGGACACGGCCCAGAGUCCUACGGGAGGCAGCAGUGGGAAAUUUUGGACAAUGGGCGAAAGCCUGAUCCAGCCAUGCCGCGUGCAGGAUGAAGGCCUUCGGGGUGUAAACUGCUUUUGUACGGAGCGAAAAGACUCGGGUUAAUACCUGGGGUCCAUGACGGUAGCGGAAGAAUAAGCACCGGCUAACUACGUGCCAGCCGCCGCGGUAAGAC
rnacentral:rRNA from 1 species